rnacentral:lncRNA from 1 species
GGGGCUCGAUCCGGAUCGAGUUUGUUCAUAUUCUCACGACCCGGUUGUUGUAGAAGAUCCUGUACCGUAAACUGGGCAUACGGUACAGGCUGGAUCGGAACAGCAGGAUCGGCCGGUUCGGGGGCCGCUGGUUCGGCUGGAGGUGGUGGAGGCGGUGCCGGCUGCGGUACAACGACCGGUUGGGAAACCGUCCGUUGUGUUCCCGAGGACUCCGGGAUGACUGACCCGGUCGCCGAGGUAGACGGGGCCGUACCGUCUGAAUCUACCAGCUGUCGGUAGUGAAACCUCUUAGCCCGAGG